UGGGGAAUAUUGGACAAUGGGGGCAACCCUGAUCCAGCAAUGCCGCGUGUGUGAAGAAGGUCUUCGGAUUGUAAAGCACUUUCGACGGGGACGAUGAUGACGGUACCCGUAGAAGAAGCCCCGGCUAACUUCGUGCCAGCAGCCGCGGUAAUACGAAGGGGGCUAGCGUUGCUCGGAAUGACUGGGCGUAAAGGGCGUGUAGGCGGUUUACACAGUCAGAUGUGAAAUCCCCGGGCUUAACCUGGGAGCUGCAUUUGAUACGUGUAGACUAGAGUGUGAGAGAGGGUUGUGGAAUUCCCAGUGUAGAGGUGAAAUUCGUAGAUAUUGGGAAGAACACCGGUGGCGAAGGCGGCAACCUGGCUCAUGACUGACGCUGAGGCGCGAAAGCGUGGGGAGCAAACAGGAUUAGAUACCCUGGUAGUCCACGCUGUAAACGAUGUGUGCUAGAUGUUGGGUAACUUUGUUAUUCAGUGUCGCAGUUAACGCGUUAAAGCACACCGCCUGGGGAGUACGGCC
rnacentral:rRNA from 1 species